rnacentral:rRNA from 1 species
AUUCGAAAGGGGUCGGAUUCAACGCUGUCCGAGUGUAUCGGGACACCCUAGGCAGAUGGCGCCGGUCGCCCGCGACGAUUCAUUUCGUUUGCGGUGUCGAUCCCGGCGAUCACUCGUCGAGGUGUGUUUACCCGGCACCGGCAGGGUGCACUUCCCCCCUAGUAGAAACGUCGCGACCCGUUGGGUGCCGGUCUAAGGCCCGGGAAGGCAGACCGUGUGUCCUGUGGGGGAUCCCACAGGCGUGCGGACUCCUGGUGACCCGGCCGGCUGCUCGACGGUAUGACCAGAGGAGUCGAUCCGCUGAAAAUGGGAAACACUGUGGUUGUGUAGCGUCCGGCCCGACGCUGAUGUGCUCAGGUGUCUAGGUGUAAUGCCGUGGGGGUUCGUGCCUAGCACGGAUCCCCGGCCCUGUGGCGUCUUCGGUUUGUCGGUGUCCUCGGACUGGAUCAGCACUCCCGUCUGCGACGCCCACCUUCGGAUGGUCUCCCG